rnacentral:rRNA from 1 species
UACGAAGGGGGCUAGCGUUGCUCGGAAUCACUGGGCGUAAAGCGCACGUAGGCGGCUUCUUAAGUCAGGGGUGAAAUCCUGGAGCUCAACUCCAGAACUGCCUUUGAUACUGAGAAGCUUGAGUUCGGGAGAGGUGAGUGGAACUGCGAGUGUAGAGGUGAAAUUCGUAGAUAUUCGCAAGAACACCAGUAGCGAAGGCGGCUCACUGGCCCGAUACUGACGCUGAGGUGCGAAAGCGUGGGGAGCAAACAGG